GAUGAAUGCUGGCGGCGUGCUUAACACAUGCAAGUCGAGCGGUAACGGGUCCUUCGGGAUGCCGACGAGCGGCGGACGGCUGAGUAACGCGUGGGAACAUGCCCCAAAGUGAGGAAUAAGCACCGGAAACGGUGUCUAAUGCCGCAUAUGGUCUUCGGAUUAAAGGAUUUAUCCGCUUUGGGAGUGGCCCGCGUUCGAUUAGGUAGUUGGUGAGGUAAAGGCUUACCAAGCCUACGAUCGAUAACUGGUCUGAGAGGAUGAUCAGUCAGACUGGAACUGAGAUACGGUCCAGACUCCUACGGGAGGCAGCAGUGAGGAAUAUUCCACAAUGGGGGAAACCCUGAUGGAGCAACGCCGCGUGCAGGAUGAAGGCCUUCGGGUCGUAAACUGCUUUUAUAAGUGAAGAAUAUGACGGUAGCUUAUGAAUAAGCACCGGCUAACUACGUGCCAGCCGCCGCGGUA
rnacentral:rRNA from 1 species